rnacentral:rRNA from 1 species
UACGUAGGCAGCAAGCGUUGUUCGGAGUUACUGGGCGUAAAGGGUGCGUAGGCGGUUGUUUAAGUUUGGUGUGAAAUCUCCCGGCUCAACUGGGAGGGUGCGCCGAAUACUGAGAGGCUAGAGUGUGGGAGAGGAAAGUGGAAUUCCUGGUGUAGCGGUGAAAUGCGUAGAUAUCAGGAGGAACACCGGUGGUGUAAACGGCUUUCUGGACCAUAACUGACGCUGAGGCACGAAAGCGUGGGUAGCAAACAGG